rnacentral:rRNA from 1 species
CUACGGGCGGCACCAGGCGAGAAAACUUUGCAAUGUGCGAAAGCACGACAAGGUUAAUCCGAGUGGUUUGUGCUAAACGAACCUUUUGACAGUCCUAGAAACACUGUUGAAUAAGGGGUGGGCAAGUUCUGGUGUCAGCCGCCGCGGUAAAACCAGCACCUCAAGUGGUCAGGAUGAUUAUUGGGCCUAAAGCAUCCGUAGCCGGCUCUGUAAGUUUUCGGUUAAAUCUGUACGCUCAACGUACAGGCUGCCGGGAAUACUGCAGAGCUAGGGAGUGGGAGAGGUAGACGGUACUCGGUAGGAAGGGGUAAAAUCCUUUGAUCUAUUGAUGACCACCUGUGGCGAAGGCGGUCUACCAGAACACGUCCGACGGUGAGGGAUGAAAGCUGGGGGAGCAAACCGGAUUAGAUACCCGCGUAGUC